rnacentral:tRNA from 3 species
GCUCGUGUAGCUCAGCGGUAGAGCAGCGGUUUUGUAAACCGCAGGUCGUGGGUUCGAAUCCCACCGCGAGCU